rnacentral:lncRNA from 1 species
UUCCACCAAGUGUGGAAAAGUUCGGAAUACAUAUCAAACACUCGAAUCUCACAAUUUGCAAAAGUCCAGUAUGCUACCGAGAAGAUUGAGAGACGAAAGGUGAGUGAGAAGGAGAAGAUGGAGAGGCAGAAGGUGAGCAAGAAAGAGAGGGAAAAGGGCAAUAUAGGAAAAUAUUUGGGAGGGUAAAAAGAAAGAGAAUCCUACAUCAUUAUUUUCUAUUUCCUACUCACCAUUUCUCUACUGUAUUGUAUUAAAGGUCCUUUCACAUUUGUCCAUUCAUUUCCAUCUCCAUUUUUAUAUAAUAAAGUUUGCAUUUUCUUUUGUUCCAGCAUCUUCUGUGAUAAUUUUUUUUCGAUGAUAAAAUAUAUAUGCUUACUUGCUAGUCUAUUUUAUUAUGUCCAGUACCAAAAAAAUUUUAAAAUUUUGAUUUUCACUAUUAUUUUUUACCUCAGAAAAACUUUAAAAUUUUGCUUUCAUUAUCUAUCCGCCACAUUCCGCGGGUCUCUGUAUUAGUUACUUUGAAAUAAUAUAAUAGUUGAAAUAACUAGCAGAAUUGUCAUGUCAUUUCUUGAUAGCUUAAUUAUUGCCUCAUUAUUACUUUAGCAGAAAAAUUAAUCAAUUAACACCGUGAAUCAAUUGAAAUAGAAUUUAAAAUUCAAUGUCUUAACUGAAAGAAAUUAAAGUUGGGUGACCUAAAUAAAAUUUUAUACGGUGUUUAAUGACCUUGUAUUUUUCAUUUUUUGGGUCAGUGGAGACCCCCUCAACUAUAUAGAGAUGUCAAUGGAGCGGAUUCGGGGUGGAUUUUCAAAAACCCGAAUCCAAACCCGACUCCAAACUCAAGAUCCGAACUCGAACCCGAACCCGACGGAUUUUAAAAAUCCAUAUCCAAACCCGAACCCGAACCCGAGCCCGAAAAUUUGAACCCGAAAUAAUUAUUUCUUUUUUCAAUAUUUCAAAAUAUAUUAUAUUAAAUCUAAAUUUUUAAAAUACAAAUUCAAAUAUAACAUUAAAUUUAUAUAUAUAUAUUAUAUAUAAUA